rnacentral:rRNA from 1 species
GACGAACGCUGGCGGCGUGCUUAACACAUGCGAGUCGAACGGAAAGGCCCUGCUUUUGUGGGGUGCUCGAGUGGCGAACGGGUGAGUAACACGUGAGUAACCUGCCCUUGACUUUGGGAUAACUUCAGGAAACUGGGGCUAAUACCGGAUAGGAGCUCCUGCUGCAUGGUGGGGGUUGGAAAGUUUCGGCGGUUGGGGAUGGACUCGCGGCUUAUCAGCUGGUUGGUGGGGUAGUGGCUUACCAAGGCUUUGACGGGUAGCCGGCCUGGGAGGGUGACCGGCCACAUUGGGACUGAGAUACGGCGCAGACUCCUACGGGAGGCAGCAGUGGGGAAUAUUGCACAAUGGGGGGAAGCCUGAUGCAGCAACGCCGCGUGCGGGAUGACGUCCUUCGGGUUGUAAACCGCUUUCGCCUGUGACGAAGCGUGAGUGACGGUAAUGGGUAAAGAAGCACCGGCUAACUACGUG